GCUCGGGACACCACCAUGUCCAGCAGCCAGGGGGCCUGCAGGGGAGGAACAGGGAGGAUGUGGGACGUCCUUGUGACGGCUGAGGCACUGGGCGCACAAGGAGCCCAAGGCAGGGAGGGCUGAUGGCACCGCAGCACUUGCACGGCGCGAGCAGCUGGCCAGGUGCUGGUGGUAGAAAGCUACAGCUCACCUUGAGAAGAGCUUUCCUGAACUUCUCUUUCCCUGACAGCUUCUCAAGGAAGUCGUAAUAGAAUUUCAUGUGGAAGGUCAUUCCAUCGAUGUGGAGCACUCCAAUGUCCUUGAAGACAACGGCAACGUUCUCCCCAUUCUUCAGGCAGCCAGAGAGCAGGGACACGGUGCUUUGGAUGCAAGCCUGCGCUGUCUGCCAGGUCACAGAGGCAGCUGCGGCCACCUCGCUGCUCUUGAGCGGCUCCAGCUUCCUAUGGGCUGAAAAAUGGGAGGGACGGAGUUGAUGAUACGGUUGGUUUUCCGCAGUGCUUCCCUGGAACUGCUUCUUGUGGCCAUCAGCCAGAACGGCCCCAUGUUUGGCUGGGCUCCUCCGAGGGGGAGGUUUGCUUUGGAGAAUGGAGGCGGUGGCCCUGUUGGCCCUGUGCGUGAAGCCAGCAAAGCUUUAAUCCUCCCUCCUACCUGGCAGGGACUCCCUGCGGGGCUUGAGGUGGUGCACGGCUAUGAGGUUUCCAGACAAGUGAAAGACGGGCCACCGCAGAGUCACGGUCCCGUCCUCAGUCCUGAUGUCUCUGGAGAUGGUGUCAAAGGAUCCGAAGGUGGGAAUCCAGACCCCCUACAAGUGGUAGAGAAAGGAAGGGCGGCAGGGUUAUGGGCCGGCUGGCUGGAGGAAGAGCCCAUGUAGCGGUCCAAGGCAGGGACGGAGCUCAGGAGCCCUCUCUCGCUGUUCAGAGGCACAAGCCAGGGCAUCGGGAAUGGCUUUGGGAAGGGGCUGCACAGUCCUCUCCUUCCCCUCACCCUCCCAAAUGCAGCACAGCAGUCAGGGCAGAAGCAGCCUGAUGGGAUCCAGAGGCUUCCCGCGAGCGGGAUCAGCCCUGAGACAGGACAGCGCCCAGCACAAGUGAUCCUGCGGGAUUUGCAGGAAGCCCAUGGCAUGCCCAGUAGAGACACGUGGGGUGAGUUUCCUGCUUUCUGUGGAGGGGAAGAGUGGGAGGAAGUCUUGGCUGAGGCAGACAGGGAGAGGAGGAACCCGGCAUCCAACCCACCUUCUGCACCAGGAGGUGCUCUUGUACGUAGGCGGCCACCGCAUCCCAGACGGCAACUCGCUCUGGAGGGCAAAGGAAAAGCGGGUCACACUCUGCACCUGCCGCUUCCCGGCAGCCCUCCCGCUGCCAGGCGGGAGUGAGGUGGCAGAUGGAAAGUGUCGUCUGCGUGCCAAGAUUGGCUGCAGCAGCGCUCCUGUGGUGGCUGUGGAGCCGUGUACCUUCGGUGUCGGUGCAGGUGGGUAUGGAGGCACGCCUCACUGCGGGGCCAUCCUCGCAGAAGCUCAUCCUGUUCCGCCUCGUGCCAGCGGGUUGCUCCUUGUUGGCGCCAGCCAUGCCGGAGCUCAUCCCUUCAGGUGCGUCUGCUCUCUACCAGAUGCUCCUUCAGGAUGCAGGACCCACCAGCGUGCACCGCCUUCAUACCC
ensembl:lncRNA